UCGAGCUCGGUGGUCGGCGGUAUCUGGUGUCGCCGCGAGGCGAGGGCCAAUGGGUCCGGAACCUGCGGGUGGCGGGCGAGGGCCAGCUUCGGAUCGGGCGGAAGGCGGAGGCCUUUCGCGCCCGUGAGCUGGACGAUCGCGAGAAGGCCCCGGUGCUACGGGCCUACCUCGAGCGGUGGAAGAUCGAGGUGGGCAUCUUCUUCGAGGGUGUCGGUCCGAAGUCCACCGACGAGCAGCUGAGCGCGAUCUCGGCCCGCCAUCCGGUGUUCGAGGUCCUUCCCGCCGGCGCUGCUUGAGCGCUCAGCGUCUGGGCCUUCCAGCGCCGCCGCUGGAGGCCCACGAGCACCGGCACCAGCCCCUGGCCAGAAGCCAUGCACCAACCGCCGUCGGUUGACCCGGCCAGAGGUCUAUGGGUGCCCAGGCAGAAUGUGGGUGUGAUCGAUCCAGGAGUCCUCGUCACCGUGGCGUCGAUCACGGCCGGCUUCGGCAUCACGGUUCUGUUCUUCCGCAUUGACCGAGAACUCAGGAUGAACGAGAGGGGUGAGCGCAUCUGGCUCCCGUGGGCCGACUGGCUGUUGCUCGCAGCCACUUUCGCUUCGCUCCUGCUCGUGCUGCUGCCGGUCAUUCUGUUUCCGGAAUCGGAGGGCCUUGGGUCACGCCUCCCCGCCGCCGGAUGUGCCGCAGCCACGGUCGGACUUGCGGGAUACCUGGUCGGCAUCCUUGCGCACUACCGCCUGCUCUUCGGCUCAGCACGGUCCGGGCCUCGCGACAACCCCGAGCCAAGCGAGCGGAUCGUCGUGCUGGCCACCGGGAUCGCGGCCAUUGGAGUCUUCGUGGCUUCCCUCCUCUCAACCGCGUGAACGAACGAGAUCAUCGCCGGCGGUGUAAAGGUAGUGCCGGUCGAGAUGCAGGUCCGUGAGGCGAUGACAUGGGAAUCCGAAUCGCACGAUGCAGCUUCGUGGCAUUCGUGAUGACCCUUGCCGUCGCGUGCAACCAGGACACCGAGGCGACGUCAACCCCGACAUCUGCCACUCCUUCACCGGCGACACUGUCCACUCCUCCACCGACCCGCCCCAGCGUGACGUGUGCGACGCCCGGAGUCACCGCGCCGGCGGGAUGCUGGCAGGAGAUCUUGCCGCUGGGCAGCGGGGGCUUUCCGGCCACGCCUGGAUCCGCCGACACCCCCACAUGGGAACCCG
rnacentral:misc_RNA from 1 species